UUGGAGGGCAAGUCUGGUGCCAGCAGCCGCGGUAAUUCCAGCUCCAAUAGCGUAUAUUAAAGUUGUUGCAGUUAAAAAGCUCGUAGUUGAAUUUCGGGGUCAGUAGGUUGGUCAUGCCACUGGUAUGUACUGGUCUUACUGAUUCCUCCUUCCUGAUGAACCGUAAUGCCAUCAAUUCGGUGUUGCGGGGAGACUGGACUGCUACUUUGAAAAAAUUAGAGUGUUUAAAGCAGGCUAACGCUUGAAUACAUUAGCAUGGAAUAAUGAAAUAGGACGUUCGAUCCUAUUUUGUUGGUUUCUAGGAUUGACGUAAUGAUUAAUAGGGAUAGUUGGGGGCAUUAGUAUUCAAUUGUCAGAGGUGAAAUUCUUGGAUUUAUUGAAGACUAACUACUGCGAAGGCAUUUGCCAAGGAUGUUUUCAUUAAUCAAGAACGAAAGUUAGGGGAUCGAAGACGAUCAGAUACCGUCGUAGUCUUAACCAUAAACUAUGCCGACUAUGGAUCGGAUGAUGUUAAUUUUUUAAUGACUCAUUCGGCGCCUUACGGGAAAC
rnacentral:rRNA from 1 species